AUGGGGGAGAAGCCAGGCCAGGGCAGGAAGGAGGCGUGGCAGGGCGAGUCGCUGCGCACGCGCAUGAAGCGUGUCAAAGUGUACCGGUUGGAAGAUAAUGGGAAGUGGGAUGACCAGGGAACGGGUCAUGUAACCAUUGACUAUAUAGAGGGGUCAAAAGAUCUCGCUCUGGCUGUCGUGGAUGAAGAGGAUAAUGACACUCUGCUGCUUCACAACAUUACACCUGAUGAUAUCUACAGGAAACAAGAAGAAACAAUCAUCUCAUGGAGGGAUCCUGAAAAGGCACUAGAAUUAGCACUGAGCUUUCAAGAAGCCGAAUCAUGCUCAUUCAUAUGGGAGAAUAUGUGUACCAUACAGCUUGAACUACAAUCUAAAAUCCUUGGCUCUCAUGAAGUUCGUCCACAACGAACAGUGAAAUCUCUAGAAGCUCCAAGAGAUUCGCUUUCGCGUGGUAAAUCCUUAGCAUUUGAACUUCCUCCUCUUGAAUUGUCCAGUCUCCCUGUUAUUUUAAAGACUAUACUGCUAUGUGAUGUGACGCAGCAGACACGUCUCGCAGAUUUAAUAUUGAAAGAUCGUGAUUUUUUCCCCAAGAUAGUGAACCUUUUCAGAACAUGCAAGGGUUUAGGAGACAUGGAUGGUCUCCACAAGAUCUUCAGAUUAGUCAAGGGAAUCAUAUUAUUAAACAGUGCUGCUAUAUUUGACAAGAUUUUCUCCGAUGAUUUUAUUCUUGACAUAAUCGGCGUCCUUGAAUACGAUCCAGAGGCUCGUAAUGUGCAAAAUCAUAGUGCUUUCCUGAAGGAGCAUGCAGUUUUCAAGGAGGCCAUACCCAUUAGAAAUGCUUCUGUGGUUUCAAAGAUUCAUCAAACAUACAGAAUAUGCUAUAUAAAGGAUGUUAUAUUACCGAAAGGACUGGAUGAAGCUACUCUGGCAAGCCUUAACGCGAUUAUUAAUGCGAACAAUGCUUUUGUUGUUUGUUUACUGAAGGAUGACACCUCUUUUAUGCAAAGACUGUUUGCUACUAUGAGGUCUUCAAAUAUUUCUGCUGAAUCAAAAAGAGAACUGGUCUUGUUUUUGCGCGAGUUUUGUACUGUCAGCUCAAGUUUGCAGCCUGCUCAACGAAUGCAACUAUCUAGGGAUCUAGCAAGUCGAGGUGUCUUUGAUAUAAUUUCUGAUGUGUUGCGGAGUCAGGAAAAAGUGCUUGUCUCAGCUGGGACAGACAUCCUACAUUAUCUUACUCAAGAUCCUAACUUACUGAGAUCAUAUAUUGCAAACCACGAGGAAAAUUCUAGAGAAGGCAUUUCUCUUCUUGGGCUUCUGAUUGAAGGCAUUGUAACUGACUUUGGUGGCGAAAUGCUCUGCCAGUUUCUGGAAAUUCUAAAGGUGCUGCUGGAUGGAUGUACUGCGGAUACGGUUACACAAUGUAGAGACUUCAUCGAGUUAUUUUAUGAGAAGUGUUUCGAUAAGCUGAUCGAUAUAAUAGAAUCGUCAAGAGUUGAAGAAUAUUCUACUAAGGUUGAAAUAUUGUACAACAUUUGUGAGCUCUUAUGCUUUUGUGCACNNNNNNNNNNNNNNNNNNNNNNGAUCACCUUUUUUGGAAGCAAUUCAAUGGAGAAGAUCCUUACUCUAACUCGUCGAAGAGAGAGGUCUUUGGUUGUGGCAGCUGUCCGAAUCAUGCGUGCUAUUAUUGGUGCUGGCAGAAAUGACGAGCUUCUAAUUAGCCGUGUCAUUGAAUUCAACACGUUGAAACCAAUUAUUGAAGUAUUUGUUGAAAAUGGGAAUAGAUACAACAUGCUACACUCCACGGUCCUCGAACUGUUGGACUUCAUAAGAAAGGAAAAUCUAAAAUCCCUCGCCGUAUAUGUUGUUGAGUCUUUUUGGGAUCAACUUUUGAUGUUUCAACAACUGACAAGUAUUCAGGCCUUCAAACUCAAGUAUCAAGAGUACGUGGAUAUUGCUGAGGAAACGCAAACUACUAGUGUGGAUCAUACGAGAAAGGAAGAUGAAAGAGGUCUUGAUAAGGAAGAUGAAGAUUAUUUCAGUAAAGACAGCAAUGAAGAAGAUUCUGCUGCACAGACCAUACAUGCACAUCAACAAUGCCUGGUUAAGCCAGCUAAUGGAAGUGAAAUCCAUCACAUCCCUACAAGGCCUAAAUCUGGUGGUCUUGUGGAUAAUGACUCUGACAAAAAUUAUAACCCAUCUCCCAAGCGACCCGUAAAAGCCGAUGAAGCCUUAAAUAUACCCAUGGCAAGCCGUAGCUCAUUGGACAGCAAAGAUGCAGAUGGGAAUAUUCUAAAGAAGCCCAAGCUAGAAGAUAAGCCGUCACCACUCUCACCUGCUUCAAGCAUAAACAAUUCUGACGGCAACGAUGAUGUAGGGAAGGCAAGCCCAGGCUCUCCAGAUCAACAACAACAUGCCCCGGAAAGCCUGGAUUCUGGCCAUCAAACUGGAGACGAUUGUAUGAAAGAUGCUGAGGAAACAACCGACUCUGAGCCUUCUACAGCAGGAUGA
rnacentral:rRNA from 1 species